ensembl:lincRNA Gm29590 uncharacterized LOC110307627
CAGGGGAAACAAAGCUGGGCGUGCAUGCCAAUGUCCUUGUCAGCCUUGGAUCCUGGGCCUCCCGGGCUCCCCUGAAGCCUUCAGUGUCCACAAAGCACUGGCGUGAGGUUGAGACAGGUGAAGAGCAGACAGAAGGGACUCAGCCUCGCCUCAGAUCCACAGCCUGCCCAGGAGGAAGCCUGAAGCACACUAUGGGUGAGGUCAGAUCUUGGCAGAGUAUCAGGAUGCCUCGCAAAGCCAGCUUCCCCAGCUGGGUCUGGAAUGGGGUCCACAGCGCCCCUCCAAAUAUGGUAGUUUUACUGGUUUUACCCAAUCUUGGCAACCUCCAGAGCCCGUGCAGCCAAAUCUGUGGCUUUGAAAAUGAGAAUCACCUCAACCAGCAUUCUUUCUAAGGCAACGUGUGAAGAGGGUUGGGUGAGUCAGGAAAGCGUCUCUGUGACCUCUGUGAAGUAAAGGAUGGAUCCCAAAAGGAUUGUGAGAGCCUUGGAUUUGCAGCCAAAUCAGACAGAGGGGAAGAGCAGCCUGGAAACACAGUUUCUUCCCAAAUCUAAGGAAGUCUGGCAAGACUGAGAGCCUUCUUGUUUCUUUGCAUCAUUUUAUUUUAUUUUAUUUUUAUUUUUAUUUUUGUUACUGUUGUUUUUGAGAUAAGGUCUCAAGUGGUCUAGGCUGGCUUUGAAUUGGUUAGGUGGCCAAGGUUGACUUUGAACUCAUUAUAGAGGUAUAGAUAUCCUUGAUGCCGUUUCCCAAGUGCUUAGAACACAGGUAUGGCCCAUUCUACUUGGCAAAGCCAAGAUUUACACUUGUGGGAUCUGAUGCUAUCACCAGUUGAUGCUGUCAGACCUGAAUUGCAUUGUGGGACACCCAGCUGGCCACAGAAGAUUGAUGAAUGUGAAGAAUCUACAUCUGGCCACAAAAGAAUCCUGUGUUGGGAAGCCCAGGGAACAGAAACAGGCAUGGGGUCUCUUACCUCUCAGACACUAGGCUAGUGCUCUCUAGAGACCUGUGAGGGAGCAACAUCUGUCCAGAGACCUUGAAGCUGCAUUCCAUCAAAGAGUCUCUAAAACAGUAAGUCCAAUACAGAAGCCACCAGCUGGCAAUCACUUGACACAUGGCCACUGGAUGUGCUAAAAUGUAAAAAGUGCACAUGCUUUGAAGGACAUGUGGAAUGAAGCAUUCAAAGCAGCUCCGUAAUAAUUGUUUUAACAUCGAGUAUGCUAAACUUGUAAUAUUCUUCUUUUACUAGUUAAAUAUAUUGUUUACAUUAUUCUUAUUGUAAAGUACAUAUGGUGUAAGCUUA